rnacentral:rRNA from 1 species
GGUGAACGCUGGCGGCGUGCUUAAGACAUGCAAGUCGAACGCAGUCUUCGGACUGAGUGGCGCACGGGUGAGUAACACGUAACUGACCUACCCCCAAGUCGCGAAUAACCAGCCGAAAGGAUGGCUAAUACGUGAUGUGAUGAUCCGCUGUGGCGGAUCAUUAAAGACUUGAUCGCUUGGGGAUGGGGUUGCGUUCCAUCAGCUAGUUGGUAAGGUAAAGGCUUACCAAGGCAACGACGGAUAGCCGGCCUGAGAGGGUGGCCGGCCACAGGGGCACUGAGACACGGGUCCCACUCCUACGGGAGGCAGCAGUUAGGAAUCUUCCACAAUGGGUGCAAGCCUGAUGGAGCGACGCCGCGUGAGGGAUGAAGGUUCUCGGAUCGUAAACCUCUGAACCAGCGACGAAAGACCCGACAAGGGAGAUGACGGUAGUUGGGUAAUAGCACCGGCUAACUCCGUGCCAGCCGCCGCUGUAAAAC